rnacentral:lncRNA from 1 species
UCCGCUCUCUCCUCCUACUACUACUCUUCUUCUUCUUCUUCCUCCUCCAUCCCCAUCAUCGAAACCCUAAACCCUGUACAAUCACAGCACUAAAUGCCCCAUUUCGCAUAAGCCGUGUUCUACGAGUGCGGCGUAGAUAGAUAGGUAGAUAGAUAGAUAGAUAGAUAGAGAGAGAGAGAGAGAGAGAGGGGAGGGAGGGAGUGUGUGUGUGUGUGUGUGUUGUGUGUGUGUGUGUGUGUAGAGAAUUGAAUUGGUGGGAGAG